rnacentral:piRNA from 1 species
UGGUUCUGAAAGAAGAGGGUCUACCUUCC